rnacentral:rRNA from 1 species
CACGUAGGGUGCGAGCGUUGUCCGGAAUUAUUGGGCGUAAAGAGCUCGUCGGCAGUGUGUCGCGUCGGCCGUGAAAACCUGCAGCUUAACUGUGGGCUUGCGGUCGAUACGGGCAUCACUGGAGUUCGGCAGGGGAGACUGGAAUUCCUGGUGUAGCGGUGAAAUGCGCAGAUAUCAGGAGGAACACCGGUGGCGAAGGCGGGUCUCUGGGCCGAUACUGACGCUGAGGAGCGAAAGCGUGGGGAGCGAACAGG